rnacentral:rRNA from 1 species
AACGCUAGCUACAGGCUUAACACAUGCAAGUCGAGGGGCAGCAUUAAGUCAGCUUGCUGAUUUAGAUGGCGACCGGCGCACGGGUGAGUAACGCGUAUCCAACCUGCCCCCUACCCGGGGAUAGCCUUGCGAAAGUAAGAUUAAUACCCGGUGCAGUUAUGAUUCCGCAUGGGAAUAUAACGAAAGAUUCAUCGGUAGGGGAUGGGGAUGCGUCCGAUUAGCUUGUUGGCGGGGUAACGGCCCACCAAGGCGACGAUCGGUAGGGGUUCUGAGAGGAAGGUCCCCCACAUUGGAACUGAGACACGGUCCAAACUCCUACGGGAGGCAGCAGUGAGGAAUAUUGGUCAAUGGGCGAGAGCCUGAACCAGCCAAGUAGCGUGAAGGAUGACUGCCCUACGGGUUGUAAACUUCUUUUAUAAAGGAAUAAAGUCGGGUAUGCAUACCCGUUUGCAUGUACUUUAUGAAUAAGGAUCGGCUAACUCCGUGCCAGCAGCCGCGGUAAUACGGAGGAUCCGAGCGUUAUCCGGAUUUAUUGGGUUUAAAGGGAGCGUAGAUGGAUGUUUAAGUCAGUUGUGAAAGUUUGCGGCUCAACCGUAAAAUUGCAGUUGAUACUGGAUGUCUUGAGUGCAGUUGAGGCAGGCGGAAUUCGUGGUGUAGCGGUGAAAUGCUUAGAUAUCACGAAGAACUCCGAUUG